UACGGGAGGCAGCAGUGGGGAAUAUUGCACAAUGGGCGAAAGCCUGAUGCAGCUAUGCCGCGUGUAUGAAGAAGGCCUUAGGGUUGUAAAGUACUUUCAUCGGGGAGGAAAAACAAACUAAUAAUUUUAUUUCUUGACGUUACCCGAAAAAGAAGCACCGGCUAACUCCGUGCCAGUAGCCGCGGUAAUACGGAGGGUGCUAGCGUUAAUCAGAAUUACUGGGCGUAAAGAGCACGUAGGUGGUUUUUUAAGUCAGAUGUGAAAUCCCUGGGCUUAACCUAGGAACUGCAUUUUGAAACUGAAAUACUAAAGUAUCGUAGAGGGAGGUAGAAUUCUAGGUGUAGCGGUGAAAUGCGUAGAUAUCUGGAGGAAUACCUGUGGCGAAAGCGGCCUCCUAAACGAAUACUGACACUGAGGUGCGAAAGCGUGGGGAGCAAACAGGGAUUAGAUACC
rnacentral:rRNA from 1 species